CAUUGCUUUAUUUUUAUCUUGAGCUCAUUAGUUACGAUGAAGAAAGUUUUGUUCUUUUCAUUUGUGAGCAGACUUAAAGUUCAAUGGUUUAUCCUUGGGUAAUCAUGCUCAGGUUCCUAGCAACAAGAAGUCAAUUUUUGCUAUAUCUCAUUUCCUGUUUAAAGGGUCAUCUGCACUUAAUUUCCCUUCAGACAUUGUUUGUUUCAAAUGUGAAAGAAAAUUUGAAGGUGAAAUUGUCAGUGCAGACACUUGAUACGCAUGCGUCAGGUGUAGGGCUCAGCAGUUAGGAGCGUUUGCUGCUCUUCAGAAUUCCUGAAAUCAGUUUCCAGUACCCUGGUCAGUGGCUCAUUCUGGGCUUCAGAACAUUUAUGGUAACUUUGUAUUAGUUCCUCCUUGGGGUUGUUUGUUGACAGAUUAACAGAUUGCAUCUCUUAGUGGCAGAGGCAGGGGGAUUUCUGAGUUCAAGGCCAGCUUGGUCUAUAGCUUUGGUCUCAAACCAAAAGAAAAGAAAAGAAAAGAAAAGAAAAGAAAAAG
ensembl:sense_intronic